AUCACAUUUCUCGCGCAUGGCAACACCAAAAUUUCGAUGUCACUGAACCGGAGUGGUGAAAUAAACAAAAAAGCGUUUCCUCAGUUUUUAGAGAUUAUUCCUGAUUUUAAUAAGUAAUCCUUCCAGAUUUUCUAAGAUCAAUGGGUACUCCGAGGAAAAGACUGGCUUACAUGUCAAUAUCCUUAAAACCCGACGAUAGAGCACCUUCGAUCCAUCCCAUGUCUUACAGAAAUGAUCCACUUACGGUUCACUGUUUUGGGGAAAUUGAGAGACAUUUGGGAAAUUUGCCGGAAUGUCUCAAGAAUAUCCUCUUUUUCAAUGGGUACGCAAACUUUUUGAUCUUGGCGCAAAUCAAGGAGCAAAAUAUCAAUGUGAUGGCCCAUGUGGUCAGGACAACAAUGGCCAGACUCUGUCCCCAGACGAUGGAAUUCUUUCAUGUUUUCUACAGAAAUCCAUCAGAAUUUGCCUUCCCGAGGGGAUAUCUCAUGCUCAUUGAAUUGAUCAAAACAGUUGCUGUUAAAAUAAUUAAUCAUCAGAACAAUCUCGUGGUUCUGCGUCAGGUGAAAAGUACCACUCCAAGGAAGACAGAUAAUGGGACCGAAUUGGAGUCUGCAGAACCGGGAAGAAUUGAAUAAAGAUACUGGAAAAAAUGGUUUUCGAGGGCCACACUGAUUUCAAUGUGAAAUCUAGAUCCAAUAAAAGGUGAUUCUCUACUUCUAUGGAAGAAGAUUGAAGGACUGACUACUAAAGGCUGUUUAAUUGCUGUUUUCUUAUUAAUAGAUUAAUGAACUGUUAACGAUUUUCUCAAAGAUGAAAUGUUAUCUUGAAUUCUUGUGUAUAUCCAUAAGGAAGUUGUGAAAUAAAUUUAAACAGAAUUCACCACUUUCCA